GUGUCAGCAGCCGCGGUAAUACGUAGGGUGCAAGCGUUGUCCGGAAUUAUUGGGCGUAAAGAGUUCGUAGGCGGUUGCCUAAGUCUGAUGUUAAAUACUGGAGCUCAACUCCGGCAUGGCAUUGGAAACUGGGCAGCUAGAGUGCGGUAGAGGUCACGGGAAUUCCAGGUGUAGCGGUGAAAUGCGUAGAUAUCUGGAGGAACACCAGUGGCGAAAGCGUGUGACUGGGCCGCAACUGACGCUGAGGAACGAAAGCCAGGGGAGCGAAAGGGAUUAGAUACCCCGGUAGUCC
rnacentral:rRNA from 1 species